UACGGAGGGAUCUAGCGUUGUUCGGAAUUACUGGGCGUAAAGAGCGCGUAGGCGGCUAAUUAAGUUGGAAGUGAAAUCCCAGGGCUUAACCUUGGAACUGCUUUCAAAACUGAUUGGCUAGAGUACGAUAGAGGAUGGUGGAAUUCCUAGUGUAGAGGUGAAAUUCUUAGAUAUUAGGAGGAACAUCAGAGGCGAAGGCGACCAUCUGGGUCGUUACUGACGCUGAGGCGCGAAAGCGUGGGGAGCAAAC
rnacentral:rRNA from 1 species